GGAGGUCAGACAGGUAAGGAGGGGAAAGAUUGUGGAUAGCUUUGAAGGUGUGUAGGAAAAUUUUAAAGAUGAUGCRGGAUUUAACUGGGAGCCAGUGGAGCUGUUGUAGGACUGGAGUGAUGUGGGCAGAGGAUGAGGUUUGAGUGAUUACACGGGCUGCUGAGUUCUGAACCAUCUGUAGUUUGUGAAGGAAUUUGUUGGUGAGGCCAAACAGUAGGGAGUUGCAGUAGUCGAUCCUGGAUGUUACCAGGCUGUGUACAAAGAUGGCAGUGGAGCAGGGAGUGAGUGAAGGACGGAGACGGUUAAUGUUGCGAAGAUGAAAGUAUGCAGAUCGAGUCACGUUGUUAAUGUAGGAUGUGAAAGAGAGUGUGGUGUCAAGGAUGACACCUAGGUUCUUGACCUGAGGUGAGGGGGAAAGAACAGAGUUGUUAAGAGUGAAGAGAAGAUGUUGGGAUUUGGAAAUGGAGUUUUUUGUCCCAACAAGUAGGAGUUCAGUUUUGUUAUGGUUUAGUUGGAGGAAAUUGUUAGAGAACCAGUUGGGGGCGGCUAUGGUGUAGUGGUAGAGCAGCCGGCUUGGGACCCGAAAGUCUUAGGUUCGACUCCCUGUCAUGCCCACAUGUCGUGGUGUCCUUGAGCAAGACACCCAACCCUAACUGCUCCUUGGGCAUCUCACAUGGAUGCCUGCUGCUCCAUUUGGGUGUGGAUGGGUCAAAUGCAGAGCACAAAUUUCGUCAUUGUGUGGAAACUUACACUGAUGACCAAUUAAGCACCUUUGUU